GAACGCUGAAGCUUGGUGCUUGCACUGGGUGGAUGAGUGGCGAACGGGUGAGUAAUACGUGAGUAACCUGCCCUUGACUCUGGGAUAAGCCUGGGAAACUGGGUCUAAUACUGGAUACGACAUGUCACUGCAUGGUGGUGUGUGGAAAGGGUUUUACUGGUUUUGGAUGGGCUCACGGCCUAUCAGCUUGUUGGUGGGGUAAUGGCCUACCAAGGCGACGACGGGUAGCCGGCCUGAGAGGGUGACCGGCCACACUGGGACUGAGACACGGCCCAGACUCCUACGGGAGGCAGCAGUGGGGAAUAUUGCACAAUGGGCGGAAGCCUGAUGCAGCGACGCCGCGUGAGGGAUGACGGCCUUCGGGUUGUAAACCUCUUUCAGCACGGAAGAAGCGAGAGUGACGGUACGUGCAGAAGAAGCGCCGGCUAACUACGUGCCAGCAGCCGCGGUAAUACGUAGGGCGCAAGCGUUGUCCGGAAUUAUUGGGCGUAAAGAGCUCGUAGGCGGUUUGUCGCGUCUGCUGUGAAAGCCCGGGGCUUAACCCCGGGUGUGCAGUGGGUACGGGCAGACUUGAGUGCAGUAGGGGAGACUGGAAUUCCUGGUGUAGCGGUGAAAUGCGCAGAUAUCAGGAAGAACACCGAUGGCGAAGGCAGGUCUCUGGGCUGUUACUGACGCUGAGGAGCGAAAGCAUGGGGAGCGAACAGGAUUAGAUACCCUGGUAGUCCAUGCCGUAAACGUUGGGCACUAGGUGUGGGGGACAUUCCACGUUUUCCGCGCCGUAGCUAACGCAUUAAGUGCCCCGCCUGGGGAGUACGGCCGCAAGGCUAAAACUCAA
rnacentral:rRNA from 1 species